GUUGGUGUGGUGUAGUGGUUUGAGUGAUUGACUAUGACUCUGGAGAUCAGGGUUUGAUUCCCUGCUUGGUCA